UUUCAUCACCCUUUCAGGUGAACAGUACGUUUGUGUGGGCAGUAGCCCAGGGUGCGGAGAUUGUUAUUGAAGGCUGUAUAGAGCCAAUCAGUGGAUGUCCUGAUAAUACUGCCUUCCUUUGGGGCAGGCUGUUCCUGAACCAGGGAGGGGCAAGGGGGCGAGAGGGGACGCAGAUAAGCUCUUGUUCUGCUUGUCUACAGCCGGUCUAAUUGUAUGUAGAUGGAGAAUGAAGUGUUUGUCAUAAUGUAUAAUCAUAGAAAAUCCUGUUAAAGGCACCAUGCUGCUGUAUAACACACCCCUCCCCAGGGCAGCCCAGAGGCUGGAGCUGAGGGGUAUACAGUCAUACAGUGACCUGGAGGGGUGCUCCAGGGCCUCCACACCCUGCCCACUGCCACCGUGGACUACAGGGGGAUCCGCCUGUCUUCCCAGGGUCUGGCCCCUGGCCCCUGGCCUGGAGGGCCCCCCUGCUCCUACCAGGCAUGAUGGAUCAGGCGUAUAAGCGUCUGAAGGAGGCAGCAUACCUGUUUGGCCGUGUGUGUGAUGACCUGAACCCAGAGGCCUGCUCCUUCCUGUCUCAGCCUGAUGGCCAGAGUGAGGCCUGCAGUGUCCAGCUCAAGCCUGUGGUCAUCAGUGAGAGGGUCCUGGGCUUUGACCACCCCAACACUACCAACAAUACUAUGGUGAGGACCACCCCCAGAGACUCUACAGCUACGAAUUUCUGCACUCCAUUACCCAGCAGGCAGUGCAUGUGGAGCGCUCUAUAAGGAAAGGCGGGGACCCGCUCACAGCUGAGGGUCAGUCUCUUUCUCCCUCAGCUGAGACCACUCUGGAGCAGCUGGCCCUGGUCACAGGCAUUAGGACACCAAGCCACAGUGACAGGCUCCUAGAUUUCAAACAUAAGCUGAUGGAACAGAGAGAGGCAGUUAACGCCAAACCAGACAACACACGCACAGAAACAGUGAACGAAGAAGAAGCAGAGGGGACAUCUAAAGGAGAGGAGGCUGUGGCAGUCCAGGAGAUCACCAGCGAGGUGCUCUCAGUAGAGGCAGGUCACAAUGAGAACCCAGCCAACAGACAGUGGACUGCCAUCAACUGGAGCCCAUUGAGGAGAACGUAGAGGUGGGCUCAGUAGUAGAGAGUGGAGCUUUUAGACAAUCCAGUGAGGGAGCUGCCCCAGAGGCUGAGCAGAAAAUGACACAAAAUGGAGGUUUGGAAUCUGACGGAAACAAAUCAGACAGUGAGAUGGAGAUAGUCAAUGAUAAGCCAGGGUCAGAUGUGAACAGAUCACCAGUGAUGACCAAUCAGAACAACAAGAGGGCGUCAUGAAUGCCUUUAUCCAUCGACCAAGCAAAACUAACCCUGACCACAGCAGAGGGUGAGAUGCUAGCUAACGGAACAUCUGUCAGAGAGGGAGGAUUUUUUUAAGGGAUUAACAGAACAAAUAACCAAAGAGAAGCCAUAGGACAGACAAGGCAGUAGCAUAUUAAAGGGGCUGUUGAUUCAGCUGGAUCAGAAUCCUGAGAGCAGAUGGCUGUGGAGGAUGAAAGGGGAAAACGAGGAGAAAGAAUAUAGAAGUGUGUCAUUCUCUUUUAUCUGGGUUGUUUACUGGUAUUGGGAGAGAACUUAUUUGGUCUUUAUCA